GAUGAACGCUGGCGGCGUGCCUAAUACAUGCAAGUCGAGCGAACGGACGAGAAGCUUGCUUCUCUGAUGUUAGCGGCGGACGGGUGAGUAACACGUGGAUAACCUACCUAUAAGACUGGGAUAACUUCGGGAAACCGGAGCUAAUACCGGAUAAUAUUUUGAACCGCAUGGUUCAAAAGUGAAAGACGGUCUUGCUGUCACUUAUAGAUGGAUCCGCGCUGCAUUAGCCAGUUGGUAAGGUAACGGCUUACCAAGGCAACGAUGCAUAGCCGACCUGAGAGGGGGAUCGGCCACACUGGAACGGAGACACGGUCCAGACUCCUACGGGAGGCAGCAGUAGGGAAUCUUCCGCAAUGGGCGAAAGCCUGACGGAGCAACGCCGCGUGAGUGAUGAAGGUCUUCGGAUCGUAAAACUCUGUUAUUAGGGAAGAACAUAUGUGUAAGUAACUGUGCACAUCUUGACGGUACCUAAUCAGAAAGCCACGGCUAACUACGUG
rnacentral:rRNA from 1 species